rnacentral:rRNA from 1 species
GUGCCAGCAGCCGCGGUAAUACAGAGGUCCCAAGCGUUGUUCGGAUUCACUGGGCGUAAAGGGUGCGCAGGUGGGUUGGUAAGUUUGGUGUGAAAGCUUCGGGCUUAACCCGGAAAAUGCAUUGAAUACUACUGAUCUGGAGGGUCGGAGGGGGGACUGGAAUUCUUGGUGUAGCAGUGAAAUGCGUAGAUAUCAAGAGGAACACCAGUGGCGAAGGCGAGUCCCUGGACGAUACCUGACACUGAGGCACGAAAGCGUGGGGAGCAAACAGGAUUAGAUACCCUCGUAGUCC